rnacentral:rRNA from 1 species
GAUGAACGCUAGCUACAGGCUUAACACAUGCAAGUCGCGGGACCGGCGCACGGGUGAGUAACGCGUAUCCCACCUGCACUUCACCCCGGGAUAACCCGGCGCAAGUGGGACUAAUACCGUAUGGUGAAGGAUGGGGAUGCGUUCGAUUGGCGUGAAGGCGGGGUCACGGCCCACCGGGGCUACGAUCGGGAGGGGUUCUGAGAGGAAGGUCCCCCACACUGGAACUGAGACACGGUCCAGACUCCUACGGGAGGCAGCAGUGAGGAAUAUUGGUCAAUGGGCGUAAGCCUGAACCAGCCAAGUAGCGUGCAGGACGACGGCCUAUGGGUUGUAAACUGCUUUUAUGCGGGGAUAGGUACCGCAUGAAUAAGGACCGGCUAAUUCCGUGCCAGCAGCCGCGGUAAUAC